ACCUCUCAGAAAAGCACGGUAUUAAACUCUUUCCCCAUGGAGCUGGAGUGGGUGCAGAAUAAUUGGCCCAUCUUAGAGGGAGCUGUGGCUCAAAUAAAAUCUGUCCACAGGCUGAUUCAUAUGGUGGAGGACAAGUUAGAAGCAAUUAUUUGUAUAGUCCUAGGUGUUGCUCUUAGUGUCCCUUCGGAGAACAGCAAUGAUCAGUACAUGGCAGAAACGCAAUUUAUUCAGUCCUUGUAAGAAUUGGUUACAUAUGUGCUGGAUCAAGUAGAAGACCUAACGGGACUGUGAAAGAAGAAAAACUCAACAAGCCCUCUUUCAGCAAGCCAUAGAGAACUGUUGUUAGAAGAGAGGGAGAUAAAUGCUAGUUCCCCAGAUAGUGACUUUUAUUGAGGAGAAAAUCAGGAGGAUGUGAAAGCCCAAAAAGACGUAGCAUAAAACCUGGUGACCCUUCUCUGCCCUCCGAUAGGAAGUGGGCAUGCAUAUGAGGGGAGUGAAGGUGGGUACUCCGUUGUUCGUACUGAGAAGGUCCCCUAUUCUGCUACUGAUGUGUCUGAAUUAAAGAAAGAUUUUGGUCACACCCCUAGGAAAUCAGAGACCGAGUAUGUGUGGAAAGUGUGGCUAGCGCAGAGAAGAGAUCCUGUUGAUUGAAAAGGAAUCAGAGUUGUUAGGAACCUGGCAUAUCUUUAACCACUGGCAACCACUGUGCCCCGUGGUCCCUUAAUCAAAGAUCUGCUUAUUGGGAUGGUUACUGGGACAACAACUGAUGUGGAUUGAUCUGUGCAUUGGUCCUGUCCCUUUUACCAGCCAGGAGCCUCUGAACAAAUAUAUCUGAAAGGUUCAAGAUGAUCAGGAGGAAAGGUACAAAAUAAACUAACUGGAGUUGACCUACCUUGCAGCUGUGGUUUGUUUUGGACCAGGAAUUUUUUUUGUUAACUUUUGUUUUCCAGCUAUGCCUUUGCCAACCUCAGUUCUUCUGGAACUGACAAGUUCUCUUCUUGUUUUUGUUCUCCAGAUGCUUACAAAUGCUGAUUGUGUUGCUGUGCCUCACAAGUUCCCUUCUUGCCUUGCUCCUUUCCCUGGGAUCCCUGCGGUAUCAUCAGUGUUUGGGACUGGCAUUUUUGUCAGGAGGUAAAGGAAAUAUUUUACCCGCUGGAAUUUGAAAGGCGAUCUGGGAGAACACAAAUGAAGUUAUCAUCUUUACUGGACCUUGCUGCUGUAAUGCAGACCAAAUCUGCUUUGGUUUAAACGAGAGGUUGCUUUUUAUUUCCUCUUUCACAUCAGAGAUUAAUACUGUUGUAUGACCGUUGGCACUAACGUCUCUUUCCAUAGCAACGCUCAAGAGAACAUAAACUAUGAGUCAUUAUUUCUCUCUGGAGGACUUUUUUCUAAUCACAAUCAUUCUGCGGUUCCUAACAUAUAUAUCUCUCUGGUGUUACAAAACAAACAGGCAGAAAGAGGAGACUUCCACUGGACAUCACUGUAUACAACCCAAAGUCAGCAUGAUUCAGUAAUAACUCCUGUUCUCCCUUCUUUAGGCAAAAACUCUGUGCUGGAACAGCUUAAAGACACAGUUCCUUAGGAUAGCUUGCACGGUAAUUGUACUAGUCCAUCACUUGAGGUUGUGAGAUUCCUUUUAUUUAAUGCAUGUUUUAUUUUUGAAGCUGUGUACUGGACCUGCCUUGCAACACAGUCUGCUGCCUGCUGGUGCAAAGCUCUCAAAAAACUAAAGGAGUCUGUUGCAGAAUUAAGAACGAAGACAUGCAAACCAAGGCCACCCACGUGCAGUCAACAGUUACGAUGCAUUUAGUGCUCAGCAAUUCUAAACAGGUGAGCCCAGCCCAGGUCUGCUGCAGCAGGAGGACUGGGGACACCUGGCUCUGACUUACCGGGACAGCACGCUGCUGCACACUCAGGUUUGUGCCAACUGAGAGCCUUAUUGUUGCGCUUGUGUCUCACUUCCCAUAGAAAGCAAACGAUACAUCAUCACGUAGCAGUUCUUGUACACAAAGAAGGACCAACCUGCAAAGCGGAGUGAGCUGUGGAAAAUGAGCUGGAACAACAGAAUGGAGGAGGUGGACGGGAACCCCUGGAGAUCGCCUGCUCCGACGCCUCAGCGCACAGCAGGCUUCUUAGGGCUGUGCACGUGGGGGCUCUGAAAGUUGCGGUGUCUCCUCAGUGCGUUGCCAACUAUGAUUAUACAUAGCCUUAUAUUGCUUGUUCCUUCUGACAUGCCUGCAGGCAAACGAGACCCAUGAGAGAGAGAACGUGAACUGCGUUAACCAGCUGCCUGGACCCUGAGUCAUUACAGCUCCACGAAGUACCAUGAGAGACAUGGAAAAGGGAAUGCUGGAAACAUCUGGCUGGCAGCCAACGAAUUAAGAAGGCAAACCCGGCUUUCCUCUUUCUUUCCUCUUUCCCUGUUUCCAGUUCUCAUUUCCUUGCUUUGCCAAGAGUUCUGCUAUAUUAAGAUACAAGCUUCAUGUUUGGCCUUCAUCAGGAUUAGCCCCAUUCUCACACAGCUGCUGAGAAGCAGCACAUGCUAUCUGGCUUUCCCUUCCUUACCCAUGCCUUUUACUGUUCCUUCUCGUGUCAUGGACUUGCAAUUUCCCAGGUCACCCUUGUCACACUGUCCUGAGGUCAGAAGCAACUUUCUCCUGCUCCAAUCUUUGUAUUUCCUAGAUUGUUUCCUGGCAUCUACUAGCAAAACCAAAGAAGAAAAGAAAUCUGGGAAAGUGCUUUUACAUGUACUAAACCUAGAGGGAUGUACUAAACCUAGAGGGAUAAACCAAAAAAACUCUACUUGGAACUGAUUUACUUCUUAUAACAGAGAGCAUGACAAAAUUGCUCUGAUGCAUCCCUACUGGAGCAAUGUAAAAGAACAUUUUGGCUCUUUAAGUCUUAAUCACCUCACUACAGCACAAUGCUCGGUGCCCUCUCUCUUUGUCUUCGUACAACUUCUAUUUCACCCCUAUUUUAGUUUGUAAAAUCAUAAAUUAUUAAAUGACCUCCGCCAUCUUCCCCUGAGCAGUAUUUACACUCAACUAUGCAGCUGGCUGCACGCUGCAAAAAAAAAAAGCAUUAGCUGAAACAAUUAUUUGACAGGAAACGGAGUUUCCUUUUCUCCACCUAAUGCAUUCCAUCAAGUUGCAGCCACUUUGCUUCCUUCCAGCACUUAACAAAGCACAUGGUGAGCCUGGCAAGAACCUGCAGACAUCAAACUUACAUGGUCAUCAGCACCGAGAGCUGUUAUUGUUCUCAUUUCAAUAGCUCAGUCACACCCUUCGUGAGAAGCGGUCCUUCCUUUCCUGACUGCUAGAAAGUUCUUUCGCACAGUAGUCCUCUUAAUGCAAUGUGAUUGUUGAGUUCAGCUUUGUGUGCUAUGUGAAGACUACCAGGCGAGAAGGGUGCUAUAUUUAAUGUAUAUUAUAGCUUCUUAACAGAUUUAAUACAGAAGUUGUAUUGUUGCUACUGUUCCUUCACUACCCUCUUAGAAUCAUUUCUUCCAUCAUCCAUUUAUUUACAUCUGCCGCAUAAUGAAAUGCUUUGUGCUGCUGCUUGCAUUGCGAUCUUACUGCAUUUGUGCAUAAAAUACACGCACCGAAGACAGUGGAGUCUUUGCAGGAAACAGAUGAGGGUGACCAGAGUCCCCUUGCACAGACCAGCUUCUGAAACUGUAUGAGUAGCAAUACGGAAUCCCUACUGGAGCUUCUCCUAAAGGCAGACAGCCUCUUUGCUACCACUAGGUCAAAAAGCCUGACUUGAGAGUACUACAGAGGCAUCUGAUUUAUUCAAGUAAGCUACCGCACGCUUCAAAUUUGAUUACUGCCAAGAUCCCCCUCUUCACUCUGACUUCCUGGCAUAGUUUCAGUACAUAACACAAGACCCUUCUUGGAACACAGAUUGAAUAUCUGCAAGACGUUUCCUCGGAUUCAAGGUAAAGCACCCAACUACUGUUCUGAGGAGUAAGACGCACGAUAUCUUUAUUCUCACUCAAACACUUCUUGUUUAUCUUCAUGGAGGACUACCUCAAAUAUUAGCUUCCAGAAUUGAUAAGGGACAUAUUAAACAAACACAGUGCCCCUAUCAUAAAAAAGCUGGCUGCCACCCAGAUAAGCGCCUACAACUUAAGCAUUGCUAUUCCAGCUUUCCUUGCAGCGCUAUUUUCUUCUACAGCCUGUUUCUUUUUUUUCUUCUAGCAAUACAGAAGCAUAUCUAAUAGAGUACCUUACACGGAGAGUUCGGUCACCCCCUUGUACGUGGCAAAGCAGACAUUUCUUAUGGUGGCUCAGCUGCACGCUGCUCGUUUCCCAUCCAAGAGCUCUGGUGAGGACUUCAGGUCUGAGAAACCAUUUUGUUGCUCCAUUAUCACACACUGAUGAAAGAAACAGCAUCCUGAUUGUCUUCCGUUGGCAAGAUAGUGAAUUGUUCCUCUCUAAAACAAGGAGGCAGCAAAAAGAAGAACAAUGUGAACACUCAUUUUUCUCUUCCAGUCAGCAAUUACAAUACUUUUCAAAAACACGAAAAAUGGAAAAAUCCAUGUAAAAAUUGGUAAUAGCUUGACAAUCCCUAUGUUGCAAAAACUCUCACCUAACACUCUCGGCUAAUCAGCUUUACCAAAGCUGAAUUGUUCCUUGAAAUUAAUGGAGCUUCCUGUGGAUUACGCUGCUUCUCAGCGUGCAUUAGACUAGUAAGAAAACCCAGCAAAUUAGUAAGAGAUUUUGCAGGAGAUCCACAAUAACUUGUAAGGAGCUGCUCCUCAUUAAAGAGGAAACAAAACAAGACAGAAAAUAAUGAGUUUUCAUAGGUGUUCACUACCUUCCUCACCCCGUACCGCACAAAUGCUUAAAUUCCUACUGUAUCUCCUGAUAUAUGAUGAAUUCUUGACUCCCCACAGAUGACUUACAUCUUUUCAAACCUGUAUGGUUGGGGUUUUUUUGUACCUCAGUAUUCUCCCCGCGUAGAGGAUAAACACUAGUGUUUGCCACUGAGACGUACCACCUGGAGGCUGUAAUGCUGUCAGAGCUUGGCUAGCCAGCUUCCCUUCCAGGCACUAAGCCCUCUGCAGGCCAUAAAUACCACCAGCGCUGCCACUCAUUUAGAAGCUGAUGUGUUUUUCUAUAAAACUUGAGAAAAAUACCAAACUUUAGCCCAUCCCCAAGGAACCAUCCUCUUUCAUGGCAGGCUUGCUCAUAAUCUGUUCCCUGCACAAUGUGACUCCGAACCGUAACUGUGGCUCUCAGAUACUGCCACAGCAAAGCGUAAAUAGUGGAAACAAGCAGGUUUUUCCCCAGAGGAUUGCUUCCAGGCACUUGUCUCACAGCGAUAAGCAGGCAUCCAGACGGCGACACAGACCAUAUUGCUCCUAGAAUAGUUCAUACGCUCCCAAAUCCCAAAAGAGGUGAAGGAGAAGACUACUAUCUUGGGGAUACCUGUUCCAAAAACAAAAUGCCAAAAUCAGGUUAAGACGUGUGCAUCCUGCUGGCAUGCUGCUUGCCUUAGAUGUAGCAGCACGGGCUGCAUGUGAGCGCUGCCAUCUCCGUGCAGCAGAGAUGGGGCGUUGCUGAAGUGGGCGUCUGGAUCCACACGGUACAAUGCAGCUUCCAGCUCUGAGGUUUUGUCUCCAGCCCCCAGAGAGCCUGGGCUCAGCCCUCCUGCUAUCAACACAGAGGCAAAAAUAUCAAUUAUCACAAAGAGGCUCGGUAAAACCAGGUCAUUACAGAACUCCAGCUUACCGAAGAACAGAAAGUCCCUUUAUACUGGGGCAGAAGUAUUAUCUUAUUAUUUAGCAUGACUACUUUUCUAGCUGCAUGUGUCAAACGGACCACAGCGAGCAGAUAAGAAAUGCUGGCAAAAUCAAAGCAGAGAUUAGUGAGGCAGGAACGGCGAGAGCCAUCCAGACGGAGCAAGGAGC